UCUUUCCCAAGAGACACAUCAGGGUGGG
rnacentral:piRNA from 1 species